GAUUAUGGCUCAGGACGAACGCUGGCAGCGUGCUUAACACAUGCAAGUUGAACGGUAUGACAUGGAAGCUUGCUGAAGUGUCAUAUAGUAGCGGACGGGUGAGUAAUGCAUGAGAAGCUGCCAUUGGGAGGGGGACAACAGUUGGAAACGGCUGCUAAUACCCCGUAUGCCGGAGGGUGAAAGGGAGUAAUCCGCCCGAUGAGGUGCUCAUGUCCUAUCAGCUGGUUGGUGGGGUAACGGCCUACCAAGGCGACGACGGGUAGCCGGCCUGAGAGGGUGAACGGCCACACUGGAACUGAGAUACGGUCCAGACUCCUACGGGAGGCAGCAGUGGGGAAUAUUGGGCCAAUGGGGGCAACCCUGACCCAGCGACGCCGCGUGGGGGAAGACGGCCUUCGGGUUGUAAACCUCUUUUGUACGGGAAGAAGGAAGUGACGGUACUGUACGAAUAAGUCCCGGCUAACUACGUGCCAGCCGCCGC
rnacentral:rRNA from 1 species